AGGCUAUGUCUCAAAAACAAAAAGCGAAAGUAACAGAAUAGAAAGGAAGGGAAGCUGACGCCUUCUCUGUACUGUUAGCACCGGAACUCCAGACUGCUGGGUGGACCGAGGAACUGAGCACUUACCACACAUCUGGCACCUGCAGUUUUCAAUUUUGUCGCUAGAGGUCUCAGCAGGACAACGGUUAUCCAAGGAAGUGGCCAAGAUGGACCUGGAAGAAUCCUGAAACUGGUCCCUCCUCCAAACUAGCUGACUGUCAUUCAGAGGGCUCUCCAGCAAAGGGAGAGGCUACAAAUGGCCCUCAGCGAUUUGAGAAUAUCAAUCAAGAUGAACAAGCUUCUCCGCACUACAGAGUUCUCAGCACUACAGGGUUCUAAUAAAGGAGUUCCUUGGGCAUGUUCCAUCCAUACCAUCAUCAAGCUGCAGCCGCCUGCCUGCAGGACCUUAGCAGGCCACGCUGAAUGGACUGCGCAUGUGUGUGUGAUUGGCAAGUCUAUGGCAGCUGGUGAGCUGGCUGUUGGUCCUAAGCCUGCUUUCCACCCAUCUCCUAUUUAUGCCAACAUUUGUCUCUACUUGACAGUGGCAACUGCCGUCUGGACUUGGUUCCUUUUGUCUAGACAGAUCCCAUUGAUGUACACUAGGCGAUGUACACAGGUGAUUUCAGGAAGCAAAUGAUGCUAUGGGGUAUUUAAAGUCAGAAGGCAAAAGCACUGGUGAUGUCCAAGGGCAGCCGGCAGGUACAGAAAAGAGAGAGGUGAGGAUUGCGAAGGAGCUCGAGGCUGGCUCUGAUGGAAUCCAGAGCCCGGGGGGCCCUCCUGAGGAUUGAGUUAUUCUAAACAUCUGGUCUGACCUUUGCAUCUAGUAGAAAUACUGAACAGAAAGAUCCUAAGACAAGGUGGUGAGCCAUGGCAGGGGAAGAGCUUUUGGAGGCAGAUGAAAGAGUGCUCUAAAUGAGAAAUAACAGCGUAAAAGAAAUGCUUUAGGACUCAAUUUGCUAAGUAAAAUAUGCUUUACAGGAGUAUUGCACUGUGACACACUGGGCCAGAAUGAACAUUGGUUAUGAAAAACACUCUCCUCUGAUGUACGCGCCCAAGCUCGAUAAGUUAAAGCCAC